ACAGUGGUGACAUCUGUGUACACGAGGUCGCAAACAUCGUCCCAGACGCUUAUCGUGGCCAGUACACCCUGAAAAGUACACCAUUUUACAGUGGAGUACCGAGCUACACCAUGACAGUGGUCAUCACUAACUACUACAGCCACAGCGUUGUGUACUUCGAGGAGACUCGUGGAAACACGGUGCACUACAAGGCCUACCUCUAUGGGAGAACUAAGGAGCUGACCCUGCCAUUCAAGAAGUACUUCAUCAGGAUAGCCAAGGAUCUGGGUUUCACUGAAGACAUGAUCAGCUAUCCUACACCCAUUGACAAGUGCAUUGACGGCUGAACGGCUGAACGGACAGUGCCUCCUACCUCUUCACCCCCUGUUCUUCCUGUCACGCUGCUCCAGUGACAUCUGGCUGCCCCCCAGACACAUUCCCUGUGAGAGAGCUGAAAGCCCAUCUGACAGUGCAGCUCCCCACACCCAACAUCCCAAUUCAGCCCAACGAUGGAGGCCACUUUUCUGCUAAAUAAAGACAUGCA